AGAAGGGAGCUUGCUCCCGGAUGUUAGCGGCGGACGGGUGAGUAACACGUGGGUAACCUGCCUGUAAGACUGGGAUAACUCCGGGAAACCGGAGCUAAUACCGGAUAGUUCCUUGAACCGCAUGGUUCAAGGAUGAAAGACGGUUUCGGCUGUCACUUACAGAUGGACCCGCGGCGCAUUAGCUAGUUGGUGGGGUAAUGGCUCACCAAGGCGACGGCCCAAACUCCUACGGGAGGCAGCAGUAGGGAAUCUUCCGCAAUGGACGAAAGUCUGACGGAGCAACGCCACGUGAGUGAUGAAGGUUUUCGGAUCGUAAAGCUCUGUUGUUAGGGAAAAACAAGUGCGAGAGUAACUGCUCGCACCUUUAAUACGUAGGUGGCAAGUGUUGUCCGGAAUUAUUGGGCGUAAAGGGCUCGCAGGCGGUUUCUUAAGUCUGAGGUGAAAGCCCCCGGCUCAACCGGGGAGGGUCAUUGAAAACUGGAAAACUUGAGUGCAGAAGAGGAGAGUGUAAUUCCACGUGUAGCGGUAAAAUGCGUAGAGAUGUAGAGGAACACCAGUGGCGAAGGACACUCUCUGCUCUGUAAGUGACUAUGAGGGAGCGAACGCGUGGGGAGCACCCUGGUAUUCCCACGCCGUAAACGAUGAGUGCUAAGUGUUAGGGGGGUUUUCCGCCCUUUAGUGGUGCAGCUAAGCAAAUAAACCAUCCUCCUUGGGAAGUAGGGUCGCAAGUCUGAAACUCAAAAGGAUUGGAGGGGGGCCCGGCACAAGCGGUGGACCAUGUGGUUUAUUUCGAAGCAACGCGAAGAACCUUACCAGGUCUUGACAUCCUCUGACAACCCUAGAGAUAGGGCUUUCCCUUCGGGGACAGAGUGACAGGUGGUGCAUGGUUGUCGUCAGCUCGUGUCGUGAGAUGUUGGGUUAAGUCCCGCAACGAGCGCAACCCUUGAUUUUAGUUGCCAGCAUUUAGUUGGGCACUCUAAGGUGACUGCCGGUGACAAACCGGAGGAAGGUGGGGAUGACGUCAAAUCAUCAUGCCCCUUAUGACCUGGGCUACACACGUGCUACAAUGGACAGAACAAAGGGCUGCGAGACCGCAAGGUUUAGCCAAUCCCAUA
rnacentral:rRNA from 1 species